GACGAACGCUGGCGGCGUGCUUAACACAUGCAAGUCGAACGGAAAGGCCCUGCUUUUGUGGGGUGCUCGAGUGGCGAACGGGUGAGUAACACGUGAGUAACCUGCCCUUGACUUUGGGAUAACUUCAGGAAACUGGGGCUAAUACCGGAUAGGAGCUCCUGCUGCCUGGUGGGGGUUGGAAAGUUUCGGCGGUUGGGGAUGGACUCGCGGCUUAUCAGCUUGUUGGUGGGGUAGUGGCUUACCAAGGCUUUGACGGGUAGCCGGCCUGGGAGGGUGACCGGCCACAUUGGGACUGAGAUACGGCCCAGACUCCUACGGGAGGCAGCAGUGGGGAAUAUUGCACAAUGGGCGGAAGCCUGAUGCAGCAACGCCGCGUGCGGGAUGACGGCCUUCGGGUUGUAAACCGCUUUCGCCUGUGACGAAGCGUGAGUGACGGUAAUGGGUAAAGAAGCACCGGCUAACUACGUG
rnacentral:rRNA from 1 species